AUGCCGUUUUACAUGGUAUCAGAGCUAAGGCUCUGAGAUUGAUGGUCCAUAUGUUUGUGGCCCUGCAUUAUAUUAAAGUCAUAGGCUUCGAGAGUAUUUGAGUGGUUUAUGGUUUCGAUUAGAUUUAUUCGGAAUACAAUUUUUUUUAGAGACAACUUGAUUUUUGGUGAUUCCAAUGUUUGUAAUUCUACAUGAUUCAAGAGCUUCCAGUAAUUUGUUAUAUAAUGAUGCAAGCAUGUGGACUUUUACUUGAUGAUUCAAGAAGUGAAUUAUCAUGAUCGAUAUUAUUACUGUCUCUAUUAAU
rnacentral:lncRNA from 1 species